rnacentral:rRNA from 1 species
GUGGGGAAUAUUGGGCAAUGGGCGCAAGCCUGACCCAGCAACGCCGCGUGAAGGAAGAAGGCUUUCGGGUUGUAAACUUCUUUUACCAGGGACGAAACAAAUGACGGUACCUGGUGAAUAAGCCACGGCUAACUACGUGCCAGCAGCCGCGGUAAUACGUAGGUGGCGAGCGUUAUCCGGAUUUAUUGGGUGUAAAGGGCGUGUAGGCGGGACAGCAAGUCAGAUGUGAAAACCAGAGGCUCAACCUCUGGCCUGCAUUUGAAACUGUUGUUCUUGAGUGUCGGAGAGGUAAUCGGAAUUCCGUGUGUAACGGUGAAAUGCGUAGAUAUACGGAGGAACACCAGUGGCGAAGGCGGAUUACUGGACGAUAACUGACGCUGAGGCGCGAAAGCGUGGGGAGCAAACAGGAUUAGAAACCCGGGUAGUCC